CCUACGGGUGGCAGCAGUAGGGAAUCUUCCACAAUGGGCGAAAGCCUGAUGGAGCAACGCCGCGUGGGUGAAGAAGGUCUUCGGAUCGUAAAACCCUGUUGUUAGAGAAGAAAGUGCGUGAGUGUAACUGUUCACGUUUCGACGGUAUCUAACCAAAAAGCCACGGCUAACUACGUGCCAGCAGCCGCGGUAAUACGUAGGUGGCAAGCGUUAUCCGGAUUUAUUGGGCGUAAAGGGAACGCGGGCGGUCUUUUAAGUCUGAUGUGAAAUCCUUCGGCUUAACCGGGGUAGUGCAUUGGAAACUGGGAGACUUGAGUGCAGAAGAGGAGAGUGGAACUCCAUGGGUAGCGGUGAAAUGCGUAGAUAUAUGGAAGAACACCAGUGGCGAAAGCGGCUCUCUGGACUGUAACUGACGCUGAGGUUCGAAAGCGUGGGGAGCAAACAGGAUUAGAUACCCCAGUAGUC
rnacentral:rRNA from 1 species